CCUACGGGUGGCAGCAGUGAGGAAUAUUGGUCAAUGGUCGCGAGCCUGAACCAGCCAAGUCGCGUGACGGAAGACGGCCCUAUGGAUUGUAAACUUCUUUUGUCGGGGAGCAAAAUGCGCCACGCGUGGCGUUCUGAGAGUACCCGAAGAAAAAGCAACGGCUAACUCCGUUCCAGCCGCCGCGGUAAUACGGGGGAUGCGAGCGUUAUCGGGAUUUAUUGGGUUUAAAGUGAGCGAAGGCCGAGGUUCAAGUCGGCGGUAAAAUUGAGUGUCUAAACCUCGUAGUGCCGCUGAAACUGGUUAGCGUGAGUGAGCGAGAGGUAUGCGGAAUGCGUGGUGUAGCGGUGAAAUGCAUAGAUAUCACGAAGAACUCCGAUUGCGAAGGCAGCAUACGGGAGAGCAACUGACGCUCAUGCACGAAAGCGUGGGUAUCGAACAGGAUUAGAUACCCGUGUAGUC
rnacentral:rRNA from 1 species